rnacentral:misc_RNA from 1 species
AAUACAAUAUCAUCAUCAUCGUCAUUAUCAUCAUAUCACAUAACAUAUGGUGCAACUGACGCCGAAGUCAACAGGCCAAACCCACCUAUACAAUGGCCUGGCCCUUUACAAGAGACAGAGUCACAUCCUAACCACUUUCUAUUUAUAGUAGUAGUUAUGAAAAUUAGUAAUUACAGUCCUUAAAUUUAUAUAGAUAUUAUUAAAGGUUUAGUAUCUGAAUUUGACUUAUAUUAUAAUUAGAUUUAUGUAUUUUUCAAAUUAAAUAAUUUAGUCUCUUACUUAUAUUUUCAUCAAAAUCAAAAAUUCUUUCCUCUAAAA